rfam:Alteromonas australica strain H 17, complete genome.
CUUCAUCUACCUGCUGAGGGCAAAUGAAGUGCACGUGUGCAUCAAUGCCGCCUGCCGUCAGUAUUUGCCCUUCUCCCGCUAUAAUCUCUGUGCCCGCGCCAAUAGGAAUAGUCACGCCGUUUUGUACGUCGGGAUUACCGGCUUUGCCAAUGGCUUGAAUACGGCCAUCGUUAAUGGCCACAUCGGCUUUCACAAUGCCCCAGUAAUCUAAAAUGAGCGCAUUGGUAAUGACUAAAUCUGGCGUUUCUGCGCAGCUGAGCUGCCCCUGCCCCAUGCCAUCGCGAAU